rnacentral:rRNA from 1 species
UACGGAGGGUGCAAGCGUUGCUCGGAAUUACUGGGCGUAAAGCGUGUGUAGGCGGCUUCGUAAGUUGGGUGUGAAAUCCCGAGGCUUAACCUCGGAACUGCGCCCAAAACUGCGGGGCUUGAGUGCCGGAGAGGGUGGUGGAAUUCCCAGUGUAGAGGUGAAAUUCGUAGAUAUUGGGAGGAACACCAGUGGCGAAGGCGGCCACCUGGACGGACACUGACGAUGAGACACGAAAGCGUGGGGAGCAAACAGG